rnacentral:misc_RNA from 1 species
CGCACAUUGCGCCUUCUGGUAUUCCGGUAGGCAUGCCUGUUUGAGCGUCAGCAAAACCCCUCAGCGGACAGUUUUUAUUAACGGUCAGCUGGCUUUGGGCCUGGAAGACGGUGGGCGAGAGCCCCCGCUCCUGCCUUAAACUUGCUGCACGACCGCGAGCAUCUGGCUAGGUUAAUGGAGUGGUGUUUACAUUCUUUCCAUACUCUCCUGUCAGCGCUGGCGGCGUUAAACGCAAUGUUGCCCUGGCGCAACUGAAGUUUGACCUCAAAUCAGACAAGGAUACCCGCUGAACUUAA